rnacentral:rRNA from 1 species
CGCUGGCGGCGUGCUUACACAUGCAAGUCGAACGAGGAUAUAAUCUGCUUGCAGAAUAUAUCCGAGUGGCGAACGGGUGAGUAACGCGUGAACAAUCUGCCCCAAGCAGGGGGAUAACAAGUAGAAAUACUUGCUAAUACCGCAUAAGGUCACAAUGCCGCAUGGCAAAGGGACAAAAGGAGAAAUCCGGCAGGGGAUGAGUUUGCGUAUCAUUAGCUAGUUGGUGGGAUAAAGGCCUACCAAGGCAAAGAUGGUUAGCCGGCCUGAGAGGGUGAACGGCCACACUGGGACUGAGACACGGCCCAGACUCCUACGGGAGGCAGCAGUGGGGAAUAUUGGCCAAUGGGCGAAAGCCUGAGCCAGCGACGCCGCGUGAAGGAAGAAGGUCUUCGGAUUGUAAACUUCUGUUAUAGGGGAAGAAGAAAGUGACGGUACCCUAUGAGAAAGCAAUAGCUAACUACGUGCCAGCAGCCGCGGUAAUACGUAGAUUGCAAGCGUUAUCCGGAAUUAUUGGGCGUAAAGAGAGUGUAGGUGGCUGUACAAGUUGUAUGUGAAAGCCCAUGGCUCAACCAUGGAAGGUCAUACAAAACUGUACAGCUUGAGUAUAGGAGAGGUAAGCGGAAUUUCUAGUGUAGCGGUAGAAUGCGUAGAAUAUUAGAAGGAACACCAGAGGCGAAGGCGGCUUACUGGAAUAUUACUGACACUCAGACUCGAAAGCGUGGGUAGCAAACAGAGAUUAGAUACCCUGGUAGUCCACGCUGUAAACGAUGGNA